CAGGCAAGCAGAGACAUACAGGCUCCCUGUAAGGAGCCUGAUGCGGGACUUGAUCCUGGACCCUGGGAUCAUGCCCUGAGCUAAAGGCAGACACUCAACCGCUGAGCCACCCAGGCGUCCCUAUUUCAUCUGAAUUCUGUAUUCAUGGACCCAGCAGUCAAAACAAAACACUGAAUUGAAUCCUGCUGGUUUCUGGAACUUAUCAGUAGUGGAAGCCAGCUGGUGGCAGCAGAAGAGACAAGAUAGAGGAUGUAAGAUGGCAGGAAAAGAUGUCUGAAUUCCAGAAGAUCAAGGAACCGACUAAAGUAAAGACUCCUCUCCAUUUUAAAUCCCUAGUCUUGGUAUGGUUGAAGAUGGCACAGUUUGGAUGAAGCAGUUCCACAAAUGGAAGUUUCUAGUUCCAGCUGAAGAAAAUAUUUUCUGAAUCUCGUCUGAAAGUGCUGUCUUCAGUUCUGUUUCAUAUAUAUAUGAAUUGCCUGCAACUGCUGCUUUACAGUCAUGUGAAUGUUUGUCCUUAUAAACCUUGGUUCUAAAAAUGUGCUAAUCGAGCAAUAUAAUUGGCUUUCAAGAAACCAAUCAUCUAGGUUUUUCCAUCUGCAUUUCAGUUUCAUUUUGUGUGCAUGAAUGUCUGCAUCUUUCUGGAGUGAGAAGAGAAUCUUUUUAGCAGCUAUAAUGUAAGAAAUAUUUGCACCCUGAAAGCAUCAGUUUGGCUACUUCUUCAUUCAGGUUCCAGCAAAGCAAAGUACUUUCUCUGCAAGCAGUUUUAAUAAAAUCUAUUUUUUUCAUCUAAAAAGCAUAUUAUUUUGCUUUCGUUCAGGAUGGCUUUUGGGGCACCUGGGUGGCUCACUGGCCGAGCAUCUGCCUUUGGCUUGGGUCAUGAUCCCGGGGUCCUGGGAUUGAGUCCCACACUGGGCUCCCCACAGGGAGCCUGCUUCUCCCUCUGCCUAUGUCUCUGCUU